rnacentral:rRNA from 1 species
AACGAACGCUGGCGGCAGGCCUAACACAUGCAAGUCGAGCGCCCCGCAAGGGCAGCGGCGGACGGGUGAGUAACGCGUGGGAACGUGCCCUUUGCUACGGAAUAGCCCCGGGAAACUGGGAGUAAUACCGUAUAAGCCCUACGGGGGAAAGAUUUAUCGGCAAAGGAUCGGCCCGCGUUGGAUUAGGUAGUUGGUGGGGUAAUGGCCUACCAAGCCGACGAUCCAUAGCUGGUUUGAGAGGAUGAUCAGCCACACUGGGACUGAGACACGGCCCAGACUCCUACGGGAGGCAGCAGUGGGGAAUAUUAGACAAUGGGCGCAAGCCUGAUCUAGCCAUGCCGCGUGAGCGAUGAAGGCCUUAGGGUUGUAAAGCUCUUUCGUGGGGGAAGAUAAUGACUGUACCCCAAGAAGAAGCCCCGGCUAACUCCGUGCCAGCCGCCGCCGUAAUAC